GGCGUUUUGAGUCGCGUGCCCUGGACCCGAAGCGGGAUGAUCUAGCCCUGGGCAGGUUGAAGCGCGGGUAAGACCGCGUGGAGGACCGAACCCACCUGGGUUGAAAACCGGGGGGAUGACCUGGGGCUAGGGGUGAAAGGCCAAUCAAAUUCCGUGAUAGCUGGUUCUCUCCGAAAUGCAUUUAGGUGCAGCGUCGGUUGAUUGCAUCGCGGGGGUAGAGCUACUGGAUGCUUGCGGGCCCGUAUGGGGUACCAACAGCAGCCAAACUCCGAAUACCGUUGAUGUGUAUUCCGGCAGUGAGUCGGCGGGGGAUAAGCUCCGUCGUCGAGAGGGAGACAGCCCAGAUCGUCGUCUAAGGUCCCGAAGCGUGUGCUAAGUGGGAAAGGAUGUGGAGUCGCAUAGACAGCCAGGAGGUUGGCUCAGAAGCAGCCAUCCUUGAAAGAGUGCGUAACAGCUCACUGGUCUAGUGGUUCCGCGCCGACAAUGUAGCGGGGCUCAAGCACACCACCGAAGACGCGGCAACAGUUUUUUGCUGUUGGGUAGGAGAGCGUCCCCCGAGGGGCGAAGCGGCCGCGCAAGCGCGCCGUGGACUUCGGGGGAGUGAGAAUGCAGACAUGAGUAGCGAGAGACGGGUGAGGAUCCCGUCCGCUGGAUGACCAAGGGUUCCGGGGCCACGUUCGUCGUCCCCGGGUGAGUCGGGUCCUAAGGCGAGGCCGACAGGCGUAGUCGAAUGGAUGAACGGGUGGAUAUUCCCGUACCGGCAGCGAACCGUCCGAACCGAACGGAUGAGUACUAACCUCCGGUCGCGUGGCGUCGUUCCCUUCGGGGUUCGGGGCUCGUGAUUGUUGGGAAUGUAGUCCUGGUAGGUUAGCGCACAGGGGUGACACGGAAUGGGAGCCGGCCGCGGAGGUGGUUUUCCGUGGUCAAGCACGCAGCCCGUCCCAUAGGCAAAUCCGUGGGACAUGCAGGGUGAGGUGCGAUGAUGGGCGCCUUUCAGGCGCGAUAUCCGGUGGUCCAGGCCGUCGAGAAAAGCCUCGGCGCGAGGGGCGUUGCCGCCCGUACCCCAAACCGACACUGGUGGUCAGGUAGAGAAUACCAAGGCGAUCGAGCGAAUCCUGGUCAAGGAACUCGGCAAAUCACUCCCGUGCCUUCGGUAUAAGGGAGACCCCUGAUGGUGAUGGAACUUGCUUCCGGAGCUUUCGGGGGUGGCACAGACCAGGGGGUAGCGACUGUUUACCAAAAACACAGGUGCAUGCGAAGGCGCAAGCCGCUGUAUAUGCACUGACGCCUGCCCGGUGCCGGAAGGUUAAGAGGAUCCGUCAGCCCUCGGGUGAAGCGGUGAAUUCAAGCCCCGGUAAACGGCGGUGGUAACUAUAACCAUCCUAAGGUAGCGAAAUUCCUUGUCGGGUAAGUUCCGACCUGCACGAAUGGCGUAACGACUUCCCCACUGUCUCGACCAGGAGCUCGGCGAAAUUGCAGUACGAGUAAAGAUGCUCGUUAAGCGCAGAAGGACGAAAAGACCCCGGGACCUUUACUAUACCUUGGUAUUGGCGUUAGGCGCGGAUUGUGUAGCAUAGGCGGGAGGCUUCGAAGCGUGGGCGCCAGCCCGUGUGGAGCCGCAAGGUGAAAUACCGCUCUGUUCUCGUUUGACGUCUCACCUCGAACAGUCAUCCUGUUCAGGGACAGUGCCUGGCGGGUAGUUUAACUGGGGCGGUUGCCUCCCAAAGAGUAACGGAGGCGCUCAAAGGUCCGCUCAGCCCGGUUGGCAAUCGGGUUUCGAGUGUAAUCGCACAAGCGGGCUUGACUGCGAGAACGACGGUUCGGGCAGGGACGAAAGUCGGAGAUAGUGAUCCGGUGCCGGCGCACGGGCGCGGCAUCGCUCAACGGAUAAAAGGUACCCCGGGGAUAACAGGCUGAUCAUUCCCAAGAGUCCAUAUCGACGGGAUGGUUUGGCACCUCGAUGUCGGCUCGUCGCAUCCUGGGGCUGGAGCAGGUCCCAAGGGUUCGGCUGUUCGCCGAUUAAAGCGGCACGCGAGCUGGGUUCAGAACGUCGUGAGACAGUUUGGUCUCUAUCCUCUGCGCUCGUUGGAAUCCUGAGGAGGCCUGCCCAUAGUACGAGAGGACCUGGGUGGACGGACCUCUGGUAUGCCGGUUGUCGCGCCAGCGGCAUGGCCGGUUGGCUACGUUCGGGAGGGAUAACCGCUGAAAGCAUCUAAGCGGGAAGCCUGCUCCAAGAUUAGGAUUCCUUGGCACUUCGGUGUCUGUAGCCCGCAUGUUGAACACGUGUUCGAUAGGCCGGAGGUGGAAGUCCCGCGAGGGAUGGAGCCGACCGGUACUAACGG
rnacentral:rRNA from 1 species